rnacentral:misc_RNA from 1 species
AGCAGCCGCGGUAAUUCCAGCUCCAAUAGCGUAUAUUAAAGUUGUUGCAGUUAAAAGCUCGUAGUUGAAUUUCGGGGUUAGUAGGUUGGUCAUGCCUCUGGUAUGUACUGGUCUCACUGAUUCCUCCUUCCUGAUGAGCCGUAAUGCCAUUAAUUUGGUGUUGCGAGGGAUUUGGACUGUUACUUUGAAAAAUUGAGUGUUUAAAGCAAGCUAACGCUUGAAUACAUUAGCAUGGAAUAAUGAAAUAGGACGUUCGAUCCUAUUUUGUUGGUUUCUAGGAUUGACGUAAUGAUUAAUAGGGAUAGUUGGGGGCAUUAGUAUUCAAUUGUCAGAGGUGAAAUUCUUGGAUUUAUUGAAGACUAACUACUGCGAAAGCAUUUGCCAAGGAUGUUUUCAUUAAUCAAGAACGAAAGUUAGGGAUCGAAGACGAUCAGAUACCGUCGUAGUCUUAACCAUAAACUAUAGCCGACUAGGGAUCGGAUGAUGUUAAUUUUUAAUGACUCUAUUCGGCGUACCG